rnacentral:rRNA from 1 species
CCUACGUGUGGCAGCAGUGAGGAAUAUUGGUCAAUGGACGAGAGUCUGAACCAGCCAAGUAGCGUGAAGGAUGACUGCCCUAUGGUUUGUAAACUUCUUUUAUAAAGGAAUCAAACGAGGCACGUGUCCCUUUUUGCACGUACUUUAUGAAUAAGGAUCGGCUAACUCCGUGCCAGCAGCCGCGGUAAUACGGAGGAUCCGAGCGUUAUCCGGAUUUAUUGGGUUUAAAGGGUGGGUAGGCUGUGAGGUAAGUCAGCGGUGAAAUGCCCCCGCUCAACGGGGUGAAGUGCCAUUGAUACUGCCUUGCUGGAAUGCGGAUGCGGUAGGAGGAAUGUGUGGUGUAGCGGUGAAAUGCAUAGAGAGCAC